GAUGAACGCUGGCGGCGUGCCUAAUACAUGCAAGUCGAGCGAACAGACGAGGAGCUUGCUCCUCUGACGUUAGCGGCGGACGGGUGAGUAACACGUGGAUAACCUACCUAUAAGACUGGGAUAACUUCGGGAAACCGGAGCUAAUAUCGGAUAAUAUAUUGAACCGCAUGGUUCAAUAGUGAAAGACGGUUUUGCUGUCACUUAUAGAUGGAUCCGCGCCGCAUUAGCUAGUUGGUAAGGUAACGGCUUACCAAGGCAACGAUGCGUAGCCGACCUGAGAGGGUGAUCGGCCACACUGGAACUGAGACACGGUCCAGAAUCCUAAGGGAGGCAGCAGUAGGGAAUAUUCCGCAAUGGGCGAAAGCCUGACGGAGCAACGCCGCGUGAGUGAUGAAGGUCUUCGGAUCGUAAAACUCUGUUAUUAGGGAAGAACAAAUGUGUAAGUAACUAUGCACGUCUUGACGGUACCUAAUCAGAAAGCCACGGCUAACUACGUG
rnacentral:rRNA from 1 species